rnacentral:rRNA from 1 species
UGGUGGAGUGAUUUGUCUGGUUAAUUCCGAUAACGAACGAGACCUUAACCUGCUAAAUAGUCCGGCCGGCUUUUGCUGGUCGCCGACUUCUUAGAGGGACUGUCAGCGUCUAGCUGACGGAAGUUUGAGGCAAUAACA